rfam:Pelodiscus sinensis unplaced genomic scaffold scaffold540, whole genome shotgun sequence.
GUUAAAAGCUAGGGCUAGGAAUUGGAGGAUGUGUAGGCAAACGGAAGAAGAGCCGGGGGAAGAAAAACCGAAAUGGAUUCAUUCUCUGUCCUGGAUGGAGGAGCAGAAGAGGAGAGAUGAGAAGGGGACGUGCAAGCUUCCUCCAACUGCCUCUGUCCGAUGAAAAGUGAUCAACCCCCCGGGGCUGAAUAGAACUCAAGGGUCCACGCGGACUUUCGCUUUAUCCUGCCAAUCAAACUGCUUUACUGCACAACACCCUGAUCUGGCAUGGACAU